UGUCGCGAGUCGCGUACGAUUACGCUGUGCGUAAAGUGACUCUAUUACAAUGAAAAUUUCGAUCGAACAAUUUUACAGAUUUUGAUGCACUGGCAGAAGGCUAUGCUUUCACGGAUGUUUGCAUUACUUUGGAUCAGAAGAAAAGUUACAAUCACAUACUGUGGACUGUGAAGAGAUGAAUGACUGCGCUAUCCGAUUACCGAGCGAAAAGGACAUGCAAGUGGCUAACAUUCAACAACUUUAAUCAAGAGAGAUUUAAUUAAGAGCGGCUACCUAUACGCCGAUUUGAAGAUACGAAUAAAUAGAUACCAGUCUUAAAGAAGGAUGAAAAUAAUGCACGUGUCAAGAUCUUGUAUUAAAUCAAAAUUAAACGAAGUAUAUACU